GCGGCGGCCAUGGCCCAGGUGAGACGCCCGGUCCCAUUCCGAACCCGGAAGCUAAGGCCUGGCACGGCGAUGGUACUGCACCCGACAGGGUGUGGGAGAGUAGCACGCCGCCGCAU
rnacentral:rRNA from 1 species